UGAGGAAUAUUGGUCAAUGGGCGAGAGCCUGAACCAGCCAAAUCGCGUGAAGGAUGAAGGUAUUAUGUAUUGUAAACUUCUUUUAUAGGGGAAUAAAGUGCACCACGUGUGGUGUUUUGUAUGUACCCUAGGAAUAAGGAUCGGCUAACUCCGUGCCAGCAGCCGCGGUAAUACGGAGGAUCCAAGCGUUAUCCGGAUUUAUUGGGUUUAAAGGGUGCGUAGGCGGGGAUACAAGUCAGCGGUGAAAGUUUGCGGCUCAACCGUAAAAUUGCCGUUGAAACUGUGUCCCUUGAGUGUAGACGAGGUGCGUGGAAUUCGUAGUGUAGCGGUGAAAUGCUUAGAUAUUACGAAGAACUCCAAUUGCGUAGGCAGCGCACCAGGCUACAACUGACGCUGAGGCACGAAGGUGCGGGUAUCAAACAGG
rnacentral:rRNA from 1 species